UACGUAGGGUCCGAGCGUUUGUCCGGAAUUACUGGGCGUAAAGAGCUCGUAGGUGGUUUGUCGCGUUUGUCCGUGAAAACUCACAGCUCAACUGUGGGCGUGCGGGCGAUACGGGCAGACUGGAGUACUGCAGGGGGAGACUGGAAUUCCUGGUGUAGCGGUGGAAUGCGCAGAUAUCAGGAGGAACACCGGUGGCGAAGGCGGGUCUCUGGGCAGUAACUGACGCUGAGGAGCGAAAGCGUGGGGAGCGAACAGG
rnacentral:rRNA from 1 species